rnacentral:lncRNA from 1 species
AAAAUUCUUGUUUUAUAAUUCCAAGGUGAAUUUCUAGCUUUGUUUUCAAUUUGCCCAUAGUGUCGACAUGGUGUGCCCAAACAGCAAUCCAGUAGUACAAAAAGUAUGUGAAUUAUAUGAACAAAUCUCGAGAUUGGAGAACCUUAGCCCUUGCAAAGAUGUCAACAUGUUGUUCACAGACCUUGUCCACACGUGCAUGCCUCCUAAUCCUAUUGAUGUCUCUAAGCUCUGCCAAAAAAUUCAAGAAAUCAGGUCUCAUCUCAUCAAGUUAUGUGGUGAGGCUGAAGGACUUUUAGAGUCUCACUUUUCAACAAUUCUUGCCACUUAUGAA